rnacentral:rRNA from 1 species
UACGGAGGAUGCAAGCGUUAUCCGGAAUGAUUGGGCGUAAAGGGUCCGCAGGUGGCAAUGUAAGUCUGCUGUCAAAGAAUGAGGCUUAACCUCAUCAAGGCAGUGGAAACUACAUAGCUAGAGUACGGUCGGGGUAGAAGGAAUUCCUGGUGUAGCGGUGAGAUGCGUAGAGAUCAGGAAGAACACCGGUGGCGAAAGCGUUCUGCUAGACCUGUACUGACACUGAGGGACGAAAGCUAGGGGAGCGAAUGGG